UACAGAGGGUGCGAGCGUUGUCCGGAAUCACUGGGCGUAAAGGGCGCGUAGGUGGCGCUGCAAGUCGGUGGUGAAAGCUCGUCGCUUAACGACGAGUCGGCCAUCGAAACUGCAGGGCUCGAGCACUGUAGGGGCUAAUGGAAUUCCGGGUGUAGCGGUGGAAUGCGUAGAUAUCAGGAGGAAUACCGGUGGCGAAGGCGGCCUUCUGGACGAUGACUGACGCUGAGACGCGAAAGCGUGGGGAGCAAACAGG
rnacentral:rRNA from 1 species